GGAAACCUUACUAGGGUAAGACAUUGGUAUGAUUGACAGAUUACUUGAUCUUUCUUGAUUCUAUGGGUGGUGGUGCAUGGCCGUUCUUAGUUGGUGGAGUGAUUUGUCUGGUUAAUUCCGAUAACGAUCGAGACCUUAACCUGCUAAAUAGUUUCAUGAAGCUUAGGCUUUGUGGUAGCUUCUUAGAGGGACCUUUUGUGUGGAAUAAAAGGAAGUGUGAGGCAAUAA
rnacentral:rRNA from 1 species